UACAGAGGUCUCAAGCGUUGUCCGGAUUUAUUGGGCGUAAAGAGCGUGUAGGCGGCCAGGUAGGUCCGUUGUGAAAACUGGAGGCUUAACCUCCAGCUGUCGAUGGAAACCAUCUGGCUAGAGUCCGGAAGAGGAGAGUGGAAUUCCUGGUGUAGCGGUGAAAUGCGCAGAUAUCAGGAAGAACACCCGUGGCGAAGGCGGCUCUCUGGGACGGUACUGACGCUGAGACGCGAAAGCGUGGGGAGCGAACAGG
rnacentral:rRNA from 1 species